rnacentral:rRNA from 1 species
GACAGAGGGUGCAAACGUUGUUCGGAUUUACUGGGCGUAAAGCGCGUGUAGGCGGCCUUGCAAGUCGGAUGUGAAAGCCCACGGCUCAACCGUGGAAGUGCAUCCGAAACUGCAUAGCUUGAGUCUCGGAGAGGAAGGUGGAAUGCUUGGUGUAGAGGUGAAAUUCGUAGAUAUCAAGCAGAACACCUGCGGCGAAGGCGGCCUUCUGGACGAUGACUGAUGCUGAGACGCGAAAGCGUGGGGAGCAAACAGG